rnacentral:rRNA from 1 species
GAUGAACGCUGGCGGCGUGCUUAACACAUGCAAGUCGAACGAAGCACUUUAUUUGAUUUCCUUCGGGACUGAUUAUUUUGUGACUGAGUGGCGGACGGGUGAGUAACGCGUGGGUAACCUGCCUUGUACAGGGGGAUAACAGUUGGAAACGGCUGCUAAUACCGCAUAAGCGCACGGCAUCGCAUGAUGCAGUGUGAAACACUCCGGUGGUAUAAGAUGGACCCGCGUUGGAUUAGCUAGUUGGUGAGGUAACGGCCCACCAAGGCGACGAUCCAUAGCCGACAUGAGAGGGUGACCGGCCACAGUGGGACUGAGACACGGCCCAAACUCCUACGGGAGGGAGCAGUGGGGAAUAUUGCACAAUGGGCUAAAGCCUGAUGCAGCGACGCCGCGUGAGCGAAGAAGUAUUUCGGUAUGUAAAGCUCUAUCAGCAGGGAAGAUAAUGACGGUACCUGACGAAGAAGCACCGGCUAAAUACGUG